rnacentral:rRNA from 1 species
UACGUAGGGAGCAAGCGUUGUUCGGAUUUACUGGGCGUAAAGGGCGCGUAGGCGGCCUGUCAAGUCAAUUGUGAAAUCUCCGGGCUUAACUCGGAACGGUCAAUUGAUACUGUCAGGCUAGAGUGCAGAAAGGGCAAUCGGAAUUCUUGGUGUAGCGGUGAAAUGCGUAGAUAUCAAGAGGAACACCUGAGGCGAAGGCGGGUUGCUAGGCUGACACUGACGCUGAGGCGCGAAAGCCAGGGAGCAAACGGG